rnacentral:lncRNA from 1 species
UGGACUCUUAUAUAUAUGGAAUGGGCCAAGUUCAUUUAGGUUGGGCUAAGCUUUCAUGGAUAGUCCAUGGAGUGUUUAACCCAUGGAUCCUAGGAAAUGAAAGGUCAUGGGUAUUAGGGUUUAACCCUAAUCCUCCAUACUAUAUAAAGAUGUCUUUGGUUGGUGAAAUUGGCACUAGUGUGGAUACACUAAAGAAGGGCUAGCCAAUUUCACUAGAGAGAACCAAGUAAUCAUAUUCUCUAAAGUAUUCCAAGGUGUCUUGGUGAUUUGUGAUUCCACUUGAGGCUUCCACACUAUUGGGGCUAAGCUCUUAAAGCUUGAAGACAUCAAGCUACAUCAAAAGGUAUGUAUUCUAUCUUGUUACAUUCAUAGUUUUUGUAUGCUAGAUUAGGAUAAUACCUUGGAUGUUCUUAUUUGCAUGUAUAAUAGAGAAAACAUAGAUCCAAGGUAUUUAGGGUUGCAUGUACACUUAGGAAGUGUUAGAAUGCUCAAAACCCAACAGUGGUAUCAGAGCCACGGGUUGUUUUCUGUUAUAUUGAUGCAAAUAUUUUAUUUUCAAAGUUGAAAAAAAAAAAAAAAAAAAACAUGAAGUUUGUCAAAUUUUAAGAUAAUUACUUGUUCUUGUGAAAAACUAAUUAUUUGUAAAAUUUGAAUAAUUUGCUUUAUGAGUUGAAUUAGGUCAAAUUUAAUAAAAGAUAAAAUAAUAUGAUUAUUUUAUUAGUUUUAAAAGUUUGAUCUAAAGAGUUUUAUUUUUUGAAACCUCCAUAAGUUAUGGAUAUGAAAAGGUUUUAAAAAAAAAAUUGAUUCAAAGUUUUUUUGGAGUUACAAAAUUUGGUGUUAAUGUUUUAAAGGAUUCCAUAACUUAAGAAUAAGUUAUGGAUCACCAAAAGUUUUUUGUGUUACCUUGUUUUAUGAGUGAAUUUAGAUUAAUGAAUAAAAUUAUGUGAUAGUUGGUUUUAAUCCAAAUUAAUCUAAGAAUUGAUUCUAAAAUGUGUUUUUGUAACUUGUCCUCAAGUUAUAUGAAAAGUCACAUUUAAGAAUCAUAAAACUCAUAAAAAUUGGCAAAGGUUACAAAAAUGAAGAGUCUAGUUCUAAUUAAAUGGUUUUAUGACUCCAUAACUUGUCCUCAAGUUAUGGAGGACCAAGAGUCUCUUCAUUUAAUAAAAUAAAAUAAAAAAAAAAAAAGUGUAACCUUAAUUAAUUCCAUAAGUUAUAAAAUAAAGAAAAGUUAAUUCUUUUAUUAGUUUAAAGUCUUCCAUAACUUGUCCUCAAGUUAUGGAACUUGAAGAGUUUUUGGAUUAAAACUACUUUAAACACAUAAGUUAUGGAAUUAAUUAGUUUUGAAUAGUUUCAAAACUUGCCCUCAAGUUUUGGAAUUUGUAAAGUUUUCACUUAUGAAUACUUUAAUUCCAAGUUAGCCCUUAGAAUUUUAAAAGUUAAAAUUCAACCCUUAUACUUUAUAAUAUUAUAAGUUAAUAAUAUAUAUAUGUAUAAGAGUAAAGUCAGUCUUACCGCUAGUACGCCUCAUUCACGAAGCCGGUCUAUAAGGUGGGUAUAAGGUUGUUGCCUAUAAAAUGGCAACUUAAUGGGUGUCCACUCUCACCCACCGCUUGCUUGACUGGUGGAGGGUCGUUAGCCGAACGGGUUUGACAGGACUAGAAUUCUCCCUUCAUUAAAAGUAUUAAUGAUAAUACUAAGUAACUAAACUCUUAAUAAUACCCAAUCUUAGUUACUUAGGAAAAAUGUGAAUAAGGUGCUAAUCCAUGAAAUUACACUUUACACUUUGUCUAAGUCGUUAGUGGAGCGUGUGUGGUUAACCGGCACACUAACUUGGACUUAACAAGGUAGGUAAAGGGUGACUUAAUAUUUAUCAUAGUAUCGAUGGAGCGUGUGUGGUUAACCGGCACAUCGAUUGAGGGGUAAUUUAUUAAGGGUACCAAGUGAUUUGCAUGGUUACUUCACACCUUGUUUUGUGAUCCUCGGCAUCCCAGUCACAAAACCUGAAGGGCACACUCGAGAUUGAAACAUGCCUUUGAACAGUUCAAUGAAUCUCAAAGAUCUAGGAGUUUCAAAACCAAUUAAAACCUAAUAAUACAUUUCGUUUAUCUUGGUGGAAAUUGGUGAAUCGUCAUUCACCUACCUUCAAAUAUUUUAUAGCUUGGAUUACGGCAUACCUCUUCUAAGUUAUAAAAUAGUUUGUUGGGUCCUAGCCUUAAUAUUUCAUAUUGGGUGUCAUAUUAAGGACUUUAAAUCAACUAUCUUGAAUAUCUCCCAAAAGAUGUCUGUAAUAGACACCUAUGAUCUUCCCAAAUCUAGUGAAACAAGGUUUCCUAAAUGAAGAUGAUGUCCUUUGGAAAUCAUACUUCUUUCACCUCCUCCAAUUAUUCUCCCUAACCCACAAGUUCUUGAAAAGUUUAAGGUCACUCAAGCCCUAUUGGCAAGGCAAGGUCUAGGUGUGAUCACAUCUUGGAGAUGUAGUCACAUAUUGACAAGCCGGGAGAGUUGGGUGUCAAAGUCUUGAGAAAGUUGGUGGUUCAAUCACUUUCUAAGUCACAUAGUGAGUUCCUUUGGGACACCUAUGAAACAGACUAUGACAAGACCCUUAAUGAUCUUAUCUAUUUGCUAAGAUCAACUUCCUAAAACUUUAUGGACAUUGACAAUGAUGACAUUGGAUAUCCAGUAAAGCAUUCUCUUCCCAAUGGAAAGGGAUCGGCCAUAGUCAACUCGGUUGACCAAAUGGUAAAGAGAAAAGCUAAGUCUGUGAUAGUCCCGUGUACCAUUAUCAAAGGGUCCAUAUGUUUAUAUUGCCAAAGGAAGGGGCAUUGGUUGCGAAGCUGCCAAAUUUACCUAAGGAUGUUAAAGUCAAUAAGUUUGACUCUACUUCAGGUAAAGUCCACUAUCUAACUCUGUUAAGUUUCUAUUCUGAGAUUCCUGAUACAUGAUGUGACUGGGUCACAUGGUGAUGUUUUAAGAAUCAAAGAAAAGUGAAGAAACUUAAAGAAAGAAUAUGCUGAAUCUGAUGGCGUAGAUGGAUUUCUAUCGCAUAGUUUGAAGAUCGGAUUCUUGAGCAACUUCUUAGGAGUUAUGAGAUAUUGCUUAGGAAUAGAUAACAACAAGUUUUCAUAUGGAUUGUAAGGAUAAGUUUUUCCGCAAAGUUUUAAAAUAAAAGAAAAAUUUUUUGAUUUUAUUUAUUUUAAAAUAUCCUUACAAUGGCUUUUGAGGAAAAAUUGUUGCUUAUAUGAUUCCAUUAAGAGCAAGAGUGGAAAUAUGAAAUUGAUUCUUUCAUUUGUGGUAAUGUCUAGAUUUACCAAAUAAGGAAAGAUUCUCAUCACCCAAGUUUCAAUUGGACCGGAACUUGGAAUCAUGCAAGUUGUAUAGCAUGAUGAAUGAGAACUUUCAAGUUUUGGAAAAUUAAGACUAAUUACUCGGCCACAUGGAUGUGUGAGUCAAGUAAAGGACUAAGGGAUCGAGUACACAUUCUUGUGCACUGAUUAAGUCCACCACAAAAGAUUGAUAAGACUAUUCGUCAUAGUUUACUAAAGCUCAGUAAAUAUGAUUAUACUUACAAGCUUAAGUGUAACUCUGAGACAUUGGAAAAGGUUCCAAUGUAUGGCAGGGCGAAUAAGAAGAAUCAAAUUAGGCAGAAGGAUAAAAGUUUCUCAAAUCUGAAAAGAUGGGAGAGUACUUUAGUAUCAGUUUUGUGAUCAUCUUAAUGAUUAAGAAACCAUAUCAAAAUUAGUUCUCUAAGGAAAUCUUAGUGCAUUCUUAUGACUAAGAAGAGGAACUUGAAUUGUUGAAAUGGUUAAAUCAAGAAGAUGAGUCAUACUUCGUUCCAAUACAAGUCUUAGAGUCAUACUCCAAGAUUGUCAUUUGAGUGACAUGUCUUAAAGAAGGUUUAAAACACUUGUCAAAUGUAAGAGUAAAAGUUUUCUACUCUUGUACAUUUGAAAUUGGUAAGUUGUGAUGUUUUGGAUAAAACAAAGACCAACUUAGGCCAAUUGGGUAAAGUGUUUUUCUUGAUUAGAAUCCGCACUAUCUCUUGGAUGUUUGACAAGGGAGUCUUAUAUGUCAAGAGGACAGUGGGAGUCUUAAAGGUCUUGAAAGUCUCAAGAACUAAUCAAGAAUAAAACCUGAAGUUCUUCACUAGCACACAACUUGAGGUUUAUAACCUAUCGUGUUGACAUAUUCUGUGCCCAUUCCAGUUAAAGUUGGCUUUGCAUAUGAGUUCUUAGAGUUCUCAAUUUGUUGCACAACAACUUGGAAGCAAUGGUAGGCCCUUGAGCUGCCAGGUGGCAAGAAAUUAAGAUUGAGUUCAGUCCAUAUGAGUUUGGAUUUGUCAUUAUCCUUGUCUUGUGACUAUGGUUUUGACAAUUCACAUGGAUAAGAACACAUACACCAUUAAAUCUAAGUGUCAUAAGGUUUCUCUCCGAUUCAUGAAAAUGAUGGUGAGGAAACACUUUCACUAAGUAGAUUUUAGCUAGAUAGCAAUUGUGAUAUUUGCAUUCUCAAAGUCGUUAGUGGAGCGCGUGUGGUUAACCGGCACACUAAUUUGGACUUGUGAGAAGUGGCAAAAAGGUCUAAACAUUAUGAUUACGGCAUCCCUCUUCAUAAUUGUUUAGAUACACAAGUGUGCUAUCUAAGGGAAGGUGUAUGAUUUUGAUACAGCUUUAUCAAAACAAUCUAGCAUCAGAAAUCUGAACUUUGGUAAGAAAGUCAAUGAAGUAUUGAUUUCUAGAAGUCCAGCUGAUUUCUGAGUACAUGUCAAAGCUAGUGGGAGCAUAAGUGUUAUGCUAAUAAUCAUCAUGUUAGUGGGAGCAUGAUAAUUAUGAUAAGUAUUGCAAGUUAGCAAUGUUAAUUAUAGAAAACAAAAGUUUCAAUUGGGAAAAAGUUGUUUUGCUAUAAUUAAGGGAGAGGAAAUUAUACUUCAUCUCAAAUCUAUAAGCUUAGAUCGUGAGGUUUUAAUCAUUUAGUCAAGGAUAUAUAUGAAUUUCAUGUUGGAAUGGCUCAACAUAAGGAAAUUCUGUAUAUGGGUCCAUUAUUUGCGUUCUAAAAUUCGAUUAUGAUUACGGCAUCCCUUUUCAUAAUCUGAAUUAUGAGAACUUGGCAAAUUGAAAUGGAAAUAUUAUAGCAAAAGACUGGUUUAGUCUUUAUGUAAGACAUCAUGAAUCGUGUCCCAUAUGCUUCGGAUAUAGGAUCGAUUACAUGUGCUAUAUUCAUCCGUUCUAAAAUUUUCCAAAUGCCUGGGGCAUUAAGAAGGGAAAAGGUUUAGAACUGGAUAUGACUAAAAGGAUUAAACAAUUGUCGAGGACAAUCUAAGGUUUACCAAAGAUUGGUUGCUCAAGGACAGUUGGAAGUAUAGUGAUAAUUCUGGAAGGACCAUAUUGACAUAAUCUGUAAGGAGGCAACUCUUGUUCAGAAGUGAUAGUCAAAAUGGAAUCUGGAAAUGUUUCAAAGUUAGAAUUUUCAAUCUGUUUAAGAUUAGGAAACUUAAUGCAAGAAGGAUGUUUCCAAGGAGCUGAUCUCCUUUGGAAUACUCUGUAAUGAUUGUUGUCAAGUCUUUCUGACUUUGUGCAUAAUCAUUACAAGAGGAUCAAUGCAUAUAAGUUUAGAAUCUAACAGAUUUCAGUAAAUGGCAUGAAUUUGGAAUUCUUGCAUUUGCAGUAAGGAUUUGGGAGUGUGAAAAGAGAAUCAUUGAAGUUAUGUUCAAUUGAUCUAGUUCACAAAGUAAAGAUCAUAGACAAACAUAGUAUGCAUACUUGGUGUGUGGCAUGACUAGUGUUUAAGAAAACAUAGUGUACAUGCUUGGAGCAUGGGACAACUAUUGUUUUAAAUUCAAGAAUAAAGUUGAUAGCUGAAACAGUAUACAAUGAAUAAUGUGUAAUCAUAUGGUGAUAAAUAAAAGGUGUUUUAUUUAUGUUCAAAGAUUUGAUACCAUAUUGGAUUCAAUUAUUAUUGUGUUUCACUUUGCAUGUUUUGACUUCCCGAAUAAACUAGGUUAUUCUUCCGGAAUGACUAAGUUAUUCAAACCAUCCACAGUCGGUCAUAUGUUGGAAGUAGAUAUGAAUUAAGACUGUCAUGGGUUGGCUUGUAGAGGUCUAAGGUGUUGGACAAAGGGCUACAACACUCAUGAGUGCUCAUAAGUUCUGAGUAUUGGAUUCAACCCGCGCUCAUUGGAAUCACUUCAUGGAUUUUAUCACGAGUGAUCAUGAGACGAUAAUAUCUUAUAUUCUUCAAACCUAGAGAUAUGAGUUGUUACUAUGAGUUGGUUGUACAUUGAUUGCACGAAAACGCAUUUGGUAACUCGGUGCUAUAAAACGUGCCUUUGUGUAUGAUUCAACAAGUAGUAGAACAAGCCAUAUGAGUCGAAGUUUAUCCAUUCCUUUUACCUUCGGGAUAAAAGCGAUAUCUGUGGGCCCCUCGAUGAUUUGAUGAUGACAAAUGGAAGUGCUCGGCCGGGCCAGGACUGAUUUGAUUUGUUCAAUUAGUCAGUCGUCAUAAAUCGGAAAUCGGGAAACAACAAAUGGACAGAGAGAAUGAUUAUAAUCCAUGUCUCAGUCCAUAUGAUAUCUAGAAUGGAGGAAUAUAUGAUCCCUUAUCUAAUGGACAAGUUCGUUGACAAGAUCAGAGUUCGACAGCAGCUUUAAGAGCUACGAUUGCCAGUUAGGUUUGAAGUCAUACGCAAUAAUAGUUUUAGACUUAUCCAAGUGGGAGACUGUUGGAUUAAUGUCUAAGUCCAUAACUAUAUUUGGUAUGUACUUGACCCGACCCGGCAUGGUCCAUUUGGGUUGCACUUCACCGACACAAUUUAUAUGGAUAAUCUUUUGAGAAUAGUAUGUUUAUGAUUAAUAUUAAUAUGUUAUAAGUUCUAAUAUAUUAAUAUGGAAUCAUAUUAUUUAAUUAGUAUUGAUCAAGAAUUAAUUCAUAAUUAAUUAAGUGAUCAAAAGGAACUAAUUAAAUAUGGACUCUUAUAUAUAUGGAAUGGGCCAAGUUCAUUUAGGUUGGGCUAAGCUUUCAUGGAUAGUCCAUGGAGUGUUUAACCCAUGGAUCCUAGGAAAUGAAAGGUCAUGGGUAUUAGGGUUUAACCCUAAUCCUCCAUACUAUAUAAAGAUGUCUUUGGUUGGUGAAAUUGGCACUAGUGUGGAUACACUAAAGAAGGGCUAGCCAAUUUCACUAGAGAGAACCAAGUAAUCAUAUUCUCUAAAGUAUUCCAAGGUGUCUUGGUGAUUUGUGAUUCCACUUGAGGCUUCCACACUAUUGGGGCUAAGCUCUUAAAGCUUGAAGACAUCAAGCUACAUCAAAAGGUAUGUAUUCUAUCUUGUUACAUUCAUAGUUUUUGUAUGCUAGAUUAGGAUAAUACCUUGGAUGUUCUUAUUUGCAUGUAUAAUAGAGAAAACAUAGAUCCAAGGUAUUUAGGGUUGCAUGUACACUUAGGAAGUGUUAGAAUGCUCAAAACCCAACAAACCCGAUUUGUGGUGACCACUUC